CUUUUGCAGGCCUCCCUCUCCAUACUCACCCAGUCACUAUGUUCUGAAGACUACUUUCUGAAGAGCAGACCAGAAAAUCAAUACAAAGUCCCCAUUGAUCUACUUUUCAAGGAGACAAACAUAUAACUUCAGCUUCAGAUUGAUCUCAUUCAUAUGUAAUAUGGUAACUGCAAGAAAACACAAA